rnacentral:rRNA from 1 species
UACGUAGGGCGCAAGCGUUGUCCGGAAUUAUUGGGCGUAAAGAGCUCGUAGGCGGCCUGUUGCGUCCGCUGUGAAAUCCCGGGGCUCAACCCCGGGCCUGCAGUGGAUACGGGCUGGCUGGAGGCAGGCAGGGGAGAACGGAAUUCCUGGUGUAGCGGUGAAAUGCGCAGAUAUCAGGAGGAACACCGGUGGCGAAGGCGGUUCUCUGGGCCUCUUCUGACGCUGAGGCGCGAAAGCCAGGGGAGCAAACGGG